rnacentral:lncRNA from 1 species
UAUGUGCUGGUCCAAAUUUUUUUUUUUAAUAGCUGCUUUGAGAUUUGGGGUAGGAUGUUAUAGAAAGCUUAUUAGCUUCAGGGUAACCUUGCUAGCAUAUGGUUGAAUUCAAUUUUUUUUUUUACACUUGAAUUACUUAUUUGAUAAGAUUAAUUCAAACUAAUUACCUACAAAUAACCUAAAUGAAUUAGAUUCAUUGGGC